rnacentral:ncRNA from 1 species
CAACCUCAACUCAUAUGGGACUACCCCCUGAAUUUAAGCAUAUUAAUUAGGGGAGGAAAAGAAACUAACAAGGAUUUUCUUAGUAGCGGCGAGCGAAAAGAAAACAGUUCAGCACUAAGUCACUUUGUCUAUAUGGCAAAUGUGAGAUGCAGUGUAUGGAGCGUCAAUAUUCUAGUAUGAGAAAUUAAUGAUUUAAGUCCUUCUUAAAUGAGGCCAUUUACCCAUAGAGGGUGCCAGGCCCGUAUAACGUUAAUGAUUGCUAGAUGAUGUUUCCAAAGAGUCGUGUUGCUUGAUAGUGCAGCACUAAGUGGGUGGUAAACUCCAUCUAAAACUAAAUAUAACCAUGAGACCGAUAGUAAACAAGUACCGUGAGGGAAAGUUGAAAAGAACUCUGAAUAGAGAGUUAAACAGUACGUGAAACUGCUUAGAGGUUAAGCCCGAUGAACCUGAAUAUCCGUUAUGGAAAAUUCAUCAUUAAAAUUGUAAUAUUUAAAUAAUAUUAUUAAGAAUAAUGUGCAUUUUUUCCAUAUAAGGACAUUGUAAUCUAUUAGCAUAUCCCAAAUUUAUCAUAAAAUAUAACUUAUAGUUUAUUCCAAUUAAAUUGCUUGCAUUUUAACACAGAAUAAAUGUUAUUAAUUUGAUAAAGUGCUGAUAGAUUUAUAUUAUUACAGAGCGUUAAUUUUUCGGAAUUAUAUAAUGGCAUAAUUAUAAUGUAUUUUUGUGUUUAUUAUAUGCUCUUGUAUGAUUAACAAUGC